UACGGAGGAUCCGAGCGUUAUCCGGAAUUAUUGGGCGUAAAGCGAGCGCAGGCGGUUCCUUAAGUCUGAUGUGAAAGCCCACGGCUCAACCGUGGAAGGUCAUUGGAAACUGGGGGACUUGAGUGCAGAAGAGGAGAGUGGAAUUCCAUGUGUAGCGGUGAAAUGCGUAGAGAUAUGGAGGAACACCAGUGGCGAAGGCGGCUUCCUGGUCUGUAACUGACACUGAGGCGCGAAAGCGUGGGGAGCAAACAGGAUUAGAUACCCCGGUA
rnacentral:rRNA from 1 species